CAUUAUUUUGGCAAAAUAAAUAAUUAACCAUAAUCUGGAAUUCCAAAAUCAAACUUCCAUUUCAAAAUUGUCUUUCCUAAUGCCUGGCUUUCUGGAUGGAUCAAAAGGCCCCUGAAAACAUCCAGAAAAGAGGAGUUUGCAGCCAGCCUUAUACAUGGAUUACCUUAUACUUUGAUUGAUAAAGAAUAAAGGCCCAAUGUAGGACAUAUUGGAGACACUGGUAAUUUCCCCAAGGCUUUGACUGGAAUGACAUCUUUUCAGAUACGACGAGACUGGUUUGAGGAAUUAAAGUUGACUUUAUAGACUGUACCCUGUCUACAUGGUUCUCUUACAAGGUUCCUGACCUUGUUGCAACAGCAGCUACAUAAAUCAAUGGCUUGACCAAGUUCUCACUUUUGCCACUCUGUGAUGCCAUCCCAAAUGAGCUUUGGGGGACUCUUAAAAAAAAAUCCUUACUGAGACUGCCUCCCUUUCCCCCUUUGACAUGGGACAGAACUCUCUGGAAAUGAGCCUUCCCAGUGACAAGGGACACUUGGACAGUUAGAUUUUGAUCACAGGUGCUUUCAAGAAGAAAGAUUUUCAUCAAAAGGGGGUAAAUAAAAAAGAAAAAAAAAAACGUUUUACAUGAGGAAUAUGAGCCCCUUUAAAUUAUCAGGCCCAGAAAGGCAUUUAAAAUGUAACAUCAGUCCUGUCUCACUCCCUCUUGAGCUAAAUAAUUACCUCUUAAAGACACUUGUUAUGUGGGCCCUAGACCAUCUUGAUGCCAAAUAGCUAUAAAAUAUCAUACACCUAUAAUUUAGCAAUGUAUAAUCAAUCACCACCCAAUGUUAUUUUUGUAAACCAAUGAGAAUUACUGACAAAUAACUUUUUGUAAUCACCUCUCCUCCUGAUUUGUUCUUUUUUUUUCUUUAAAAACUUGAACUGCUCUUUUGUUCUCCAGGGCAUGUCCCAAGGCAACUUGGAAGUGUGUCCCAGGAUGUAUCCCUCAACAUUUGUGUUUGAAUAAAUUCUCUUUAAACUAUA